GCUCGCCAGUCGCCACCAGACAGGAGUCAGACCCUCCCUUCAGUGUCUGUCUGCUUCAAGCCUUCCGAAGGAGAAAGAAGAGCAUAUCCUCCGGUUGAACCUGAAAUAGGAGCUCUACCUCCUGGGCUCUGCAACAUGGAUGUCUGCACAGAAAGCAGGUCUUUAGUAACAUUGAAGAUGAAAAGGCAAAACAUGAAGAAGUCACAUGCAGGAUCACCUGGUGACGAUGCACGAUGUCCUGGACGCUCAGUGGCAGUUUGACCACAACAAAGAUGAGACGUACCUGAGGAGUCAUCUUCCCCCUGGAGAAACUGCUGGUGUCCUACAAGAGGCUGGUGUGCUCAGGUACGAGGACGCCAUCGAGAUGAACCAGGACAUCGUGGUCAUCACCACCAAGGGGGGAAGGCUAUCUGCACAGGCGUGGCUCUGAUGACCACGUGGUCGCUAAGAUCAAGAGGGUCAUCAUGGAGAGACACCUACCCCCGAAAGUGGGGGCUGGGCCCCAAGGCGAGUCAGAAGAAGAUGAUGAUCCAGAAAGGACUGCUCGACAAACACGGGAAAGCCAACGGCAGCACGCGCACCGCCUGGAAGGACGGAUACACGGACUACAGGUUGAACCUGAAAUAGGAGCUCUACCUCCUGGGCUCUGCAACAUGGAUGUCUGCACAGAAAGCAGGUCUUUAGUAACAUUGAAGAUGAAAAGGCGAAACAUGAAGAAGUCACAUGCAGGAUCACCUGGUGACGAUGCACGAUGUCCUGGACGCUCAGUGGCAGUUUGACCACAACAAAGACGAGACGUACCUGAGGAGUCAUCUUCCCCCUGGAGAAACUGCUGGUGUCCUACAAGAGGCUGGUGUGCUCAGGUACGAGGACGCCAUCGAGAUGAACCAGGACAUCGUGGUCAUCACCACCAAGGGGGAAGGCUAUCUGCACAGGUUGAGCCUGAAAUAGGGGCUCUGCCUCCGGGGCUCUGCCUCCGGGGCUCUGCCUCCGGGGCUCUGCCUCCGGGUCUCUGCCUCCGGGU